CUGGGCACGCGGCUGCCUUGCUAGGAAGGCCGUAUUUCCAACUCCCUUGCAGUUCAAUGUGACUAUGUGGCUAAAUUCUGACCAACAGGACUUAAGCACGAGUGUUAUGUGCAAUGUCCAAACACAGCCUCUCAGGGAGCAGUUUGCCCUCUGUGGAAGGCAGGAUGCGAGCCCCCAAAGAUGUCCACAUGCUGCUCUCCAGAACCUGUGGACGUGUUACGUGGCGAGGAGGAUUGAGUCCACAGGUGGAGGUGCUAGCAGCUCCCGGAGAUGAGAUUAGCCCGGCCCGUGGUGCUGGGCCCAGUUAAAAUGGGAGCAGGAGGCCGACGGGCAUGCGAGUCAGAAAAGGCCGUGUGGGGAGGACGUGGGCUGCUGCUGCUGCUUCAGAGAAGGACAGCCCCUAAAAGCUGGAGAAUCCCAUGAAGGGUUCCCCUCAUGCCAAGCUUUCAGAAUGGAUGGAGCCAGGCCCUGAUUCCAGCCUGGUGAUACCCAUGUUGAAUUUCUGCAGAACUGUGCUGUCCGGCAGUGGAGAAUCUAAAUAUAUGAAGGCCAAAGCUUUGGCCGAGGAAUUUUCCAUCGUAAGUUCUGAGGCUUUCAGCCUUCGACAGAAGACACCAUCUCCUGUCUGCUCCUUGAUGUUUCCUGCCCACUUCCCUCUGCUGCUUCUCUCUCUGUAAGGCAGCAAGAAGAAAAAGCGAUUUUCUUUCUUCCCGCAACAUAAAGCAGUGUAGGCAGGACUUCCCUUCUCGACACCCGCUCAUCAAUGGCACCUCAUGCUUUUCACAUCCAUUCUGUGCUUUUUAACAGUGAAGUUCUAGGACUGGGCAAUAUUUGACACAGUUCCCCACACAUUGUGGUUUGCCUAACGGUAAACACCAAAGGCUAAGGAAGGGUGGCUGCAUUUAUCUCACAUUCACUAGGUGGCAACUAGUGAAGUAUGGGAUCCAUGCUGUACUACAGAGUCCGCCCCAGACAUCCCAACCUGGCCCUAGGAUGACAUCUCACCUUAGUAUGUUACUUCUUACAGCAAAGGCUUUGAUGAACUUAGCCUACAAACUAUUCCAUGUGUGCGUGUGUGUGUUGGGAACUUUGCAAUCUAUCAGCUAAACAUUUACCAGCUGAAGAUUUACCCCUGAUGGAAAAAUAUCUAAAAUGACAGAAAAGUUCUAAAUGCAGCUGGGAAGACUUUUAGAUAUGCAAGGAGUGGCAUUAGCUUCCACAUGUGAUUUUUCUUUGAUUUUUUUUUUCCCCUCUAACUCAGGAAAGAGGUCUAAGAAACACCAAAAUGCAAGAGAUCUGAAGGACUUCCUAGACCCAUCCCCUCAUUCUGUGAUGAUUACCGAGGUUAAGUUAGCCAGGGCCUCAGAGCUCCUUGGAGGAAAUGCCAAGGCGGAUAUGAAGGGAAGUCUGAUUCACUUGACAUGACAUUCCUUCCACUGCAGGCUUUCUUUCAAAACAGCUUUUAACUGGUCUUAGGCUCAACUAAAUGGGCCAUCAAAUAAAGCUACUGUUUCCUUAAAACAGAAAUGACCUGUGCUAUAAGUUGAAUGUUUUGAACAAAUAUUUUGAAUUAAGUUUUUAGGAAGUAAUUUUAUUUGAAAGAGGACCUAUGACAAACCAAAAACUAGUUAACCAAAUAGAAAUACUUUAUCUUUGAGAUGUUAUGGAACAAAAAUUCAUAAUCUUUUUGAGACUAGUAUACCUUUUUUUUUUUUUUUUUUUGUUCCGGGGAUGGAACUCUGGUCCUUGCGCUUGUGCAGCAGGCGACGAAACCACUGAGCUAAAUCCCCAGCUAGUAUACCUUUUGAGAGCUAAGCAAACAUAC
ensembl:lncRNA